CUUUACUAUAACUUUAUAUUGAGCAUAUUUUUGGACUGCGUAGAAUAGAUGGGAGAGGUCUGAUGGUUUCGUUUUUGGAUGAAAUCUACUCGUCAGUGAAAUACCAUUCUUUUUGAGGAUAUGUUCUAACCAAAAUGGCAAAAACGUUUUGAGACAGUAUAUGGCGGAUAGUUUUACUGGGGCUGUACCCUCCUAAAAAGUAAAGGAGGGGUUUAAAGGUCAGCUAGGCGCGAAUGGAAACCGUGCCGAUAGUGUAUGAGCACAAGCUGGCUUGACUGUAAGAGGUACAUCUCAAGCAGGUGGGAAACCAGAAUCAAGUGAACCGACCACCCGUGUUAGACGCGGUGGAAGAUUAACGGAUAAAAGCUA
rnacentral:rRNA from 1 species